UACGUAGGCAGCGAGCGUUGUUCGGAAUUACUGGGCGUAAAGAGUGUGUAGGCGGUGCUCUAAGUUCGGUGUGAAAUCUCCUGGCUUAACUGGGAGGGUGCGCCGGAAACUGGAGUGCUCGAGCGUGGGAGAGGAAAGCGGAAUUCCUGGUGUAGCGGUGAAAUGCGUAGAUAUCAGGAGGAACACCUGUGGUGUAGACGGCUUUCUGGACCAUUGCUGACGCUGAGACACGAAAGCGUGGGGAGCGAACAGG
rnacentral:rRNA from 1 species